rnacentral:rRNA from 1 species
GAUGAACGCUGACAGAAUGCUUAACACAUGCAAGUCUUUGGUGAAGCUGUGCUUGCACAGCCUAGCCAAGGCGGACGGGUGAGUAACGCGUAAGGAACUUGCCCUGCAGUCAGGGAUAACAGACGGAAACGACUGAUAAGACCUGGUAAAGUCAGGCGGACUCAUGUCCAGCCUGAUGAAAAGAGAUGCUGCAGGAGAGCCUUGCGUCCUAUUAGCUUGUUGGUGGGGUAACGGCCCACCAAGGCAAUGAUAGGUAGCCGGCCUGAGAGGGUGGACGGCCACAAGGGGACUGAGAUACGGCGCUGACUCCUACGGGAGGCAGCAGUGGGGAAUAUUGGACAAUGGGGGCAACGCUGAUACAGCAAUUCUGUGUGCACGAUGAAGGUUUUCGGAUUGUAAAGUGCUUUCAGCAGGGAAGAAAAAAAUGACGGUACCUGCAGAAGAAGCGACGGCUAAAUACGUG